CGUUGCUAUGGAAGGAAAUGAAAUUACCCCAAAUUGAAACCCAUAAACCCUAAGGCGAACCUGGUGAAGAAGGCAAAGCCAUAGGGGAGAUCGCAUUUUUGUGCAGACUCGAUAUGGCAAAGAACGUCGACCUGGUUAACAUGUGGGCUGAAUCGUUCUACCAGUUCACCAAGUCAAUGACUUCGUCUUAAUCAAUGGUUUCUUAGGCAGAUGAAGCUUGGUCGGGCCUUGGUGGUGGCGUGCUUAACUAUCCUUUGGCCCGAAGACAGGUGUGAGGCGUGGUUGGAGGAGGAGAAUUCUGUUUCUAAUACUAGAGAUAUUAAGAAAGAGCCCAUUUUUGUCAAUGGAGGAGUGGAAGACCUGUGCUGUGGGAUGUGGGCUUGAAUUUGAUUCUGGUAAGAAGCCAGAUGCUGCAUUUGGGCUCCCUCAGCAACCAAUGGAUUCAAAUAAAUAUUAUGCUGGGAUAUGGAAGUGGAUGAUUUGGAAAAAUCGUUCGAAGUAGAAGAAGUUGUCGCAAUGUUCAUCAGAUGACGUGGAAUUUACCUUUGAUGAAUUACAACGAACGGAUGAGGCUGAAUUGUCGAAGCUGAAAGCGGCAAGGGCACGAAAAAUAAGAGCUGUGAAGACGACAAAAGCUACAUCCAUUCGGUGUAAGGACGUUGAUAGUAAUCUGUAGUGCAGUACAAUGUAAAGACAGUGAUAGUAACUCUUGAGUAAUGGCAUCUGUAUAUUUCUUUUAAUAAUAACGUUGAUAUUAAAUUUCUGAA